rnacentral:rRNA from 1 species
GAAUAUUGCACAAUGGGCGCAAGCCUGAUGCAGCGACGCCGCGUGAGGGAUGACGGCCUUCGGGUUGUAAACCUCUUUCAGUGCCGACGAAGCGGAAGUGACGGUAGGCACAGAAGAAGGACCGGCCAACUACGUGCCAGCAGCCGCGGUAAUACGUAGGGUCCGAGCGUUGUCCGGAAUUACUGGGCGUAAAGAGCUCGUAGGUGGUUUGUCGCGUUGUCCGUGAAAACUCACAGCUUAACUGUGGGCGUGCGGGCGAUACGGGCAGACUAGAGUACUGCAAGGGAGACUGGAAUUCCUGGUGUAGCGGUGGAAUGCGCAGAUAUCAGGAGGAACACCGGUGGCGAAGGCGGGUCUCUGGGCAGUAACUGACGCUGAGGAGCGAAAGCGUGGGGAGCGAACAG